GUGGUUUCCCUGCGUUCUUGGGUUUUCCUGCUACCUGGUAUCCAUCUCAUCUGCCUUGUGAAGAAGUACAAGAACACCCUGAAAACAUUCAUCCAUUUAUAAAACAAAUGAUCAACAGCCCGUGAUAUACUGCUCCUGCUCCACUGUCUCCUGAAAGUAGCCCAAAUAUGUACAAAUUCAAAAUCUGGUGCAUACCGCUGUCAUGUCUUAUUCUAGGUACAGUCUGGGGGCCUAUAAUUAGCUCCGAUGGAUAAAUGCCUGAGACGGACCCCCACACUGAGUUGCCCUCUUCCCGAUCUCCAGUAAAUCCUCCCAGAUCAACCUAUCAGAAGACAUCCCUCUUCCACCCCACUUACAUCCACUCACCAGUCCUCAACAACUAACACCUCCUGAAUUACAAUUAAA